ensembl:lncRNA
GGGGUGGCAGGUAGUGGUUAGAGUGUUGGGCCAGUAACCAGCAGGUAGCCUAGUGGUUAGAGGGUUGGGGCGGCAGGUAGCCUAGUGGUUAGAGUGUUGGGCCAGUAACCAGCAGGUAGCCUAGUGGUUAGAGUGUAGGGGAGGGAGGUAGCCUAGUGGUUAGAGUGUAGGGGCGGCAGGUAGCCUAGUGGUUAGAGUGUUGGGCCAGUAACCAGCAGGUAGCCUAGUGGUUAGAGUGUAGGGGAGGUAGGUAGACUAGUGGUUAGAGGGUUGGGCCAGUAACCAGUGGUAGCCUAGUGGUUAGAGUGUUGGGCCAGUAACCAGCAGGUGGCCUAGUGGUUAGAGUGUUGGGCCAGUAACCAGCAGGUAGCCUAGUGGUUAGAGUGUAGGGGUGGCAGGUAGCCUAGUGGUUAGAGUGUAGGGGGUUAGGUAGUCUAGUGGUUAGAGUGUAGGGGCGGCAGGUAGCCUAGUGGUUAGAGUGUAGGGGGGUUAGGUAGCCUAGUGGUUAGAGUGUAGGGGUGGCAGGUAGCCUAGUGGUUAGAGUGUAGGGGUGGCAGGUAGCCUAGUGGUUAGAGUGUAGGGGUGGCAGGUAGCCUAGUGGUUAGAGUGUAGGGGU